UACAGAGGAGCCAAGCGUUGUCCGGAUUGACUGGGCGUAAAGCGCACGCAGGCGGACGCGCGCGUGGGGUGUGAAAUCUGGCCGCUUAACGGCCAGGCGCCAUCCCAUACGGCGCGUCUGGAGCAAUGCAGAGGUCGGUGGAAUUGCCGGUGUAGUGGUGAAAUGCGUAGAGAUCGGCAGGAACACCCAGGGGAAACCAGCCGACUGG
rnacentral:rRNA from 1 species